GACGAACGCUGGCGGCGUGCUUAACACAUGCAAGUCGAACGGACAGGCCCGGCUUUUGCGGCGUGCACGAGUGGCGAACGGGUGAGUAAAACGUGAGUAACCUGCCCUUGACUGUGGGAUAACUUCAGGAGACUGGGGCUAAUACCGGAUAGGAGCUACUGAUGCAUGGUGGGGGUUGGAAAGUUUCGGCGGUGGGGGAUGGAAUAGAGGCUUAUCCGCUUGUUGGUGGGGUAGUGGCUUACCAGGGCUUUGAAGGGUAGCCGGCCUGAGAGGGUGACCGGCCACAUUGGGACUGAGAUACGGCCCAGACUGCUACGGGAGGCAGCAGGGGGGAAUAUUGCACAAUGGGCGGAAGCCUGAUGUAGCAGCGCCGCGUGCGGGAUGACGGCCUUCGGGUUGUAAACCGCUUUCUCCGGUGACGAAGCGGGAGUGACGGUACUUGGUAAAGAAGCACCGGCUAACUACGUG
rnacentral:rRNA from 1 species